CCUACGGGGGGCUGCAGUGAGGAAUAUUGGUCAAUGGCCGUAAGGCUGAACCAGCCAAGUAGCGUGAAGGAAGACUGCCCUAUGGGUUGUAAACCUCUUUUAUGCAGGGAUAAAGGUGUCCACGUGUGGAUGUUUGCAGGUACUGCAUGAAUAAGGACCGGCUAAUUCCGUGCCAGCAGCCGUGGUAAUACGGAAGGUCCGGGCGUUAUCCGGAUUUAUUGGGUUUAAAGGGAGCGUAGGCGGGUCUUUAAGCGUGUCGUGAAAGUUUGUGGCUCAACCGUGAGAGUGCGACGCGUACUGGCGACCUUGAGUGCGCGGAAGGCAGGCGGAAUUCGUGGUGUAGCGGUGAAAUGCUUAGAUAUCACGAAGAACCCCGAUUGCGAAGGCAGCUUGCCGCAGCGUUACUGACGCUGAAGCUCGAAAGCGUGGGUAUCGAACAGGAUUAGAUACCCCUGUAGUC
rnacentral:rRNA from 1 species